CCUACGGGAUGCAGCAGUGGGGAAUAUUGCACAAUGGGGGAAACCCUGAUGCAGCGACGCCGCGUGAGUGAAGAAGUAAUUCGUUAUGUAAAGCUCUAUCAGCAGGGAAGAAAAUGACGGUACCUGAGUAAGAAGCCCCGGCUAACUACGUGCCAGCAGCCGCGGUAAUACGUAGGGGGCAAGCGUUAUCCGGAUUUACUGGGUGUAAAGGGGGCGUAGACGGCAGUGCAAGUAUGGAGUGAAAGGCGGGGGCUCAACCCCCGGACUGCUCUGGAAACUGUACGGCUGGAGUGCAGGAGAGGUAAGUGGAAUUCCUAGUGUAGCGGUGAAAUGCGUAGAUAUUAGGAGGAACACCAGUGGCGAAGGCGGCUGACUGGACUGUAACUGACGUUGAGGCUCGAAAGCGUGGGGAGCAAACAGGAUUAGAUACCCGAGUAGUC
rnacentral:rRNA from 1 species